UGGGUAGUCCGUACGAGCGCACCCUAUCCUUAGUUGCCAGCGAGUAAUGUCGGGAACUCUAGGGAGACUGCCGGUGACAAACCGGAGGAAGGUGGGGACGACGUCAAGUCAUCAUGGCCCUUAUGGGCAGGGCUACACACGUGCUACAAUGGCCGGUACAGAGGGCAGCGAUGUCGCAAGGCGGAGCAAAUCUCAGAAAACCGGUCGUAGUCCGGAUUGCAGUCUGCAACUCGACUGCAUGAAGUUGGAAUCGCUAGUAAUCGCGGAUCAGAAUGCCGCGGUGAAUACGUUCCCGGGCCUUGUACACACCGCCCGUCACACCAUGGGAGUGGGCUGUACCAGAAGUAGGUAGUCUAACCUUCGGGAGGACGCUUACCACGGUGUGGUUCAUGACUGGGGUGAAGUCGUAACAAGGUAGCCCUAGGGGAACCUGGGGCUGGAUCACCUCCUU
rnacentral:rRNA from 1 species